UACGUAGGGGGCGAGCGUUGUCCGGAGUUACUGGGCGUAAAGCGCACGCAGGCGGUCUGCUAAGUUUGGAGUGACAGUUGGUGGCUUAACUGCCAAAGUGCUUCGAAAACUGACAGACUUGAGGGCUUCAGAGGGACACGGAAUUCCGGGUGGAGUGGUGAAAUGCGUAGAGAUCCGGAGGAACACCAAAGGCGAAGGCAGUGUCCUGGGGAGUACCUGACGCUGAGACGCGAAAGCGUGGGGAGCGAACAGG
rnacentral:rRNA from 1 species